UACAGAGGGUGCAAGCGUUAAUCGGAAUUACUGGGCGUAAAGCGCACGUAGGUGGCUUGGUAAGUUGGAUGUGAAAUCCCCGGGCUUAACUUGGGAAUUGCAUUCAAGACUGCCUUGCUAGAGUGUGGAAGAGGGAAGCGGAAUUCCAGGUGUAGCGGUGAAAUGCGUAGAUAUCUGGAGGAACAUCAGUGGCGAAGGCGGCUUCCUGGUCCAACACUGACACUGAGGUGCGAAAGCGUGGGGAGCAAACAGG
rnacentral:rRNA from 1 species